rnacentral:lncRNA from 1 species
AUUCAAUAUUCAGGUAUUCAAUGUACAGAUAUUCAAUGUGCAGAUAUUCAAUGUACAGAUAUUCAAUACACAGAUACUCAAUAUACAGAUAUUCAAUAUACAGAUAUUCAAUACACAGAUAUUCAAUAUUCAGAUAUCCAAUGUACAGAUAUUCAAUAUUCAGAUAUUCAAUGUGCAGAUAUUCAAUACACAGAUAUUCAAUAUACAGGUACUCAAUGUGCAGAUAUUCAAUGUACAGAUAUUCAAUAUACAGAUAUUCAAUGUGCAGGUAUUCAAUGUACAGAUAUUCAAUAUACAGAUAUUCUAUAUACAGAUAUUCAAUGUGCAGAUAUUCAAUGUACGGAUAUUCCAUGUACAGAUAUUCAAUGUACAGAUAUUCGAUAUACAGAUAUUCAAUAUACAGGUAUUUAAUAUUCAGAUAUUCAAUGUACAGAUAUUCAGUGUGCAGAUAUUCAAUACGCAGAUAUUCAAUACACGGAUAUUCAAUGUGCAGAUAUUCAAUACACGGAUAUUCAAUAUUCAGAUAUUCAGUGUACAGAUAUUCAAUACUCAGAUAUUCAAUACACAGAUAUUCAAUAUACAGAUACUCAAUACACAGAUAUUCAAUAUUCAGAUAUUCAAUGUACAGAUACUCAAUGUACAGAUAUUCAAUGUGCAGAUAUUCAAUGUACAGAUAUUCAAUUCACAGAUAUUCACUGUACAGAUAUUCAAUACACAGAUAUUCAAUAUACAGAUACUCAAUACACAGAUAUUGAAUGUACAGAUAUUUAAUACACAGAUAUUCAAUAUACAGAUAUUGAAUAUACAGAUACUCAAUGUACAGAUAUUCAAUAUACAGAUAUUCAAUAUACAGAUAUUCAAUGUACAGAUAUUCAAUGUACAGAUAUUCAAUAUACAGAUAUUCAAUGUACAAUACACAUAUUUUUACUACGACUCCUACUAUAUUGCUUAUCAGGGCAAGGCCUGUAUAGAGAUAUUCAAUGUACAGAUAUUCAAUGUACAGAUAUUCAAUACACAGAUAUUGAAUAUACAGAUAUUGAAUAUAC